UCAGGUGUCGCAAGACUCAAUAGAGAAGCCGGUACGUUUUUCAAAUCCGGCGCGGUCCCGCCACUGUAUCAGCGAGUGCUGUUGCAAUGCAUUUUUGCACGUCACUGGAGAUGGAGAAGCAUCUCUGGGAAGGCGCAGCAGCAUGAUGACCUGGAGCCAGGAGAACUGCCUGAUUGA
rnacentral:ncRNA from 1 species